rnacentral:rRNA from 1 species
AGUCGAACGGUAACAUUUCUAGCUUGCUAGAAGAUGACGAGUGGCGGACGGGUGAGUAAUGCUUGGGAACUUGCCUUUGCGAGGGGGAUAACAGUUGGAAACGACUGCUAAUACCGCAUAAUGUCUUCGGACCAAACGGGGCUUCGGCUCCGGCGCAAAGAGAGGCCCAAGUGAGAUUAGCUAGUUGGUAAGGUAACGGCUUACCAAGGCGACGAUCUCUAGCUGUUCUGAGAGGAAGAUCAGCCACACUGGGACUGAGACACGGCCCAGACUCCUACGGGAGGCAGCAGUGGGGAAUAUUGCACAAUGGGGGAAACCCUGAUGCAGCCAUGCCGCGUGUGUGAAGAAGGCCUUCGGGUUGUAAAGCACUUUCAGUUGUGAGGAAAAGUUAGUAGUUAAUACCUGCUAGCCGUGACGUUAACAACAGAAGAAGCACCGGCUAACUCCGUGCCAGCAGCCGCGGUAAUACGGAGGGUGCGAGCGUUAAUCGGAAUUACUGGGCGUAAAGCGCACGCAGGCGGUUUGUUAAGCUAGAUGUGAAAGCCCCGGGCUCAACCUGGGAUGGUCAUUUAGAACUGGCAGACUAGAGUCUUGGAGAGGGGAGUGGAAUUCCAGGUGUAGCGGUGAAAUGCGUAGAUAUCUGGAGGAACAUCAGUGGCGAAGGCGACUCCCUGGCCAAAGACUGACGCUCAUGUGCGAAAGUGUGGGUAGCGAACAGGAUUAGAUACCCUGGUAGUCCACACCGUAAACGCUGUCUACUAGCUGUGUGUGCCUUUAAGGCGUGCGUAGCGAAGCUAACG